UUUUAUGGAGAGUUUGAUCCUGGCUCAGGAUGAACGCUGGCGGCGUGCCUAAUACAUGCAAGUCGAGCGAACGGACGAGAAGCUUGCUUCUCUGAUGUUAGCGGCGGACGGGUGAGUAACACGUGGAUAACCUACCUAUAAGACUGGGAUAACUUCGGGAAACCGGAGCUAAUACCGGAUAAUAUUUUGAACCGCAUGGUUCAAAAGUGAAAGACGGUCUUGCUGUCACUUAUAGAUGGAUCCGCGCUGCAUUAGCUAGUUGGUAAGGUAACGGCUUACCAAGGCAACGAUGCAUAGCCGACCUGAGAGGGUGAUCGGCCACACUGGAACUGAGACACGGUCCAGACUCCUACGGGAGGCAGCAGUAGGGAAUCUUCCGCAAUGGGCG
rnacentral:rRNA from 1 species